AAUCAACGCUGGCGGCGUGCCUCAGACAUGCAAGUCGAACGCUGCUGUUCGCCUUCGGGUGGACAGCGGAGUGGCGCACGGGUGAGUAACACGUAGGUAAUCGUACCUUUGGGUGGGGAAUAACAGCCGGAAACGGCUGCUAAUACCGCAUAAUGCAGCGGCAUCACAUGAUGACAGUUGUUAAAGCGAGGGAUCGUAAGACCUCGUCGCCUGAAGAGGAGCCUGCGGCAGAUUAGGUAGUUGGUGAGGUAAUGGCUCACCAAGCCUGCGAUCUGUAACCGGCUGAGAGGGCGGUCGGUCACACUGACACUGACAUACGGGUCAGA
rnacentral:rRNA from 1 species